GACGUAGGAUGCGAGCGUUGUCCGGAAUUAUUGGGCGUAAAGAGAACGUAGGCGGUUCCUUAAGUUUGGGGUUAAAGACCGAGGCUCAACCUCGGGAGUGCCCUGAAUACUGGGGGACUGGAGGACGGCAGAGGAAAGUGGAAUUCCCAGUGUAGCGGUGAAAUGCGUAGAUAUUGGGAGGAACACCAGUGGCGAAAGCGACUUUCUGGGCCGUUCCUGACGCUGAGGUUCGAAAGCGUGGGGAGCAAAC
rnacentral:rRNA from 1 species